AUCUGGCUGGCACAGUUGGUAGAGUGUGAGACUCUUGAUCUCAGAGUUGUGGGUUCAGGCCCCACGCUGGGUG
rnacentral:tRNA from 1 species